AGAGAGAUUGAGAACGUUUUAUGCUGCUCUCACGCUUGCUGAUACAGAAGAUGUAGCCGUCUCCGUUGAAACUAACUUGGGAACCCACAUCGCCAUGGCGGUUCCUCUAGAUAUCACCGCAGGAGAUUCCAAGCGCAAGCUAAAGUCCCAAUAAAGAAAAGAACUUUUUCUUAUGAUCUAUGUCAAACUUCCUCUUGCAAUUGUAAAGAUGAAAGCUUUGCCCCAUCAUCAUCAUCUUGUAGUUUCUCAACCAUCAGUCAGAAUAGUUCAGGUUAUGAUCCCUCGAGGACCGUUUUCAUAGUCUUUCGGCAUUGUAUUGAUACCAUCUGCAUCACUGCAUCAUGGGUUUUGCUUUCAAUCGUGUCUUGGUGCCUUGACUUUUUUAUCGUUUUCCAUAUGCUUCUGGACAUGUACUGUGCUUGCCUUGUUCUCUCAAGUAUGGAUGCACAUCUGCGUGAAAACAUUUUAAUUAUUACAGGAAACGUCGAGAAGACACAUGCGUCCUUCAAGUGUAUUGUCUGAUGUAGGUCAAAUCUCUUGCUGUCCAAAAGGCCUGGUUUGUUGUAUAAGCCUUACCAUUGAAGAAGGCACAAUCAGUUUAAGCAAUGGUAAAGGUGGAAAACAAGAAAUCUCUGCCCCGAACCUGUCCCAGAAACAGAUAUUUGAACCUGGAGAGCUACAAGAAAAGAGUAAUCUGCUCUCGAUUUCUGCAAUGCUUGAAUCUGGUGCAAGCCUGCCCUGACAAAAGAAGGGACUUCGACUCUGAAACCAUCACCUCCAUUGUCAGUAGCAGAAGCUCAGAGACAGUGACCUCACUCUCUCUCUCUCUUUUUUUUUGUUAAAACACUCUCUCUCUCUCUCUUGCGGUCUCAGAUCAGGUUUCAAGAAACUUUCAAGCUAAAACAUCAGCAAAUCAAUGUCGUGAGUUUGUGAACAAACUGAAACAGAGAGUGAAAGAGUAGAGACAGGUUCAGAUUUCUUCUACUGCUAUCAUCUAUUUGCAGAAGUGAGACUGCCAAGAAGAAGAAGCUUCUGCUCUGACUUCAAUCCAAGAUAGAUGCGUCUCUUUCCAUGUUUCUAACCUUUCAGAUACCAGAGACAGAGAGAGAGAGAGUUAGGACUGAGCCUCGAGCUCUCCCUCCGUGUACGCGAAUGUAUGUAUACGUGCAUGCGUAUGUACAUGUCUUGAUGAGACAUGCAGCAAGUGAUUCUUUUGUACAGUUUCUUGAGAAUGUCGAAAGAAUGAAA